GGGAUCACUGACCAUCCAGUGCUGGUAGAUGCCCAGCAACAUCAACACUAGCAGCGUAACGUUGGCCGUGUUUUUGACCUUAUCUGUGGGGAAUCAGAGCCAUGGCCAGGCCGCAGACGAUCUCCAGGAUGCCAACGGUGCGGCGGUACCACUUCGAGGGUAUCUUCACUCCGAAGAGCGCCGUCAGCGGAAACACUUUGGCAUACUUCACGUACUCUGUGCGCUGAAAUCGAGAGGAAAUCGAAUACGAGGAUAUAAUUAAUCAUGCCCAGAAACACCCCCAGAGGAAUGUGCUCCGCCCGGCGGCCCAGCGGAAGAGGCAGUGCAGCGGGUUUAUUUUUAAAUGGAAGCAAGCUUCCCUCGUUGUCACACACGUCUGUUUCUGUUGACAUCGUUGGCCCCGAGUGUUCGUGGUAAUACGAGGGUAAUUACACCGCGGGGAACACAGCAAACAAAACAAAUAUUUCGAAAUGCAAAUGCCAUGCCUUCGGGAAAAUCGAGAUUGAGAAAUGCUCAAAAUUGAAAGUGAAAUGGCGCGUAACGAAUGCAAUGCCAAUUCGAAAACGCCAGCUGAAUACUGAUUUUUUUCAAAAGUAUCGACGGAAGUGUAUUUUUGAUGAUCUAGUUGGUUAUUUAUUUACGUAUAUUUCUAAAACUAUAGUUUUUUGAAAAAUCCCUUAGGUCAUCCUAUUGUUUAUGUUGAAAACCAAUUUGUAUACUCUGAGUGAGAAGAAUACGUCAUUGUGGUUCUUGUGUUUGCAAAUGUUUACUUUGGUAUGCGAAUUAUUUUUAUGGUAAUGAAAACGAAAA